rnacentral:rRNA from 1 species
GAUGAACGCUGGCGGCAGGCUUAACACAUGCAAGUCGAGGGGUAUUUCUCUUCGGAUAGAGAGUCCGGCGCACGGGUGCGUAACGCGUAUGCAAUCUUCCCUUUACCUAGGGAUAGCCCAGAGAACAUUGGAUUAAUACUACAUAGUAACUAGACUCGGCAUUGCGAUUAUAUUAAAGUAACAACGGUAAAAGAUGAGCAGGCGUCCCAUGAGCUAGUUGGUAAGGUAACGGCUUACCAAGGCUACGAUGGGUAGGGGUCCUGAGGGGGAGGUCCCCCAGACGGGGACUGCGACCCGGACCAGACACCUACGGGACGCAGCAGUAAGGAAGACAGGAGAAGGGGCGCUAGCCUGAUCCAGCCAUGCCGGGUGCAGGAAGACGGUGCUAGGGAUGGUGAACUGCUGGUAGACAAGAGGAAACACUGCUACGGGUGGCAGCUUGACGGUAACGGAAGAAUAAGGACCGGCUAACUCCGUG